rnacentral:rRNA from 1 species
AACGAACGCUGGCGGCAGGCCUAACACAUGCAAGUCGAACGCCGUAGCAAUACGGAGUGGCAGACGGGUGAGUAACGCGUGGGAACGUGCCCUUCGGUUCGGAAUAAUCCAGGGAAACUUGGACUAAUACCGGAUACGUGCGAGAGCAGAAAGAUUUAUCGCCGAAGGAUCGGCCCGCGUCCGAUUAGCUAGUUGGUGAGGUAACGGCUCACCAAGGCGACGAUCGGUAGCUGGCUGAGAGGAUGAUCAGCCACACUGGGACUGAGACACGGCCCAGACUCCUACGGGAGGCAGCAGGUGGGGAAUAUUGGACAAUGGGCGCAAGCCUGAUCCAGCCAUGCCGCGUGAGUGACGAAGGCCC